UUCGUAGGGUGCAAGCGUUAAUCGGAAUUACUGGGCGUAAAGCGUGCGCAGGCGGUGAUGUAAGACAGAUGUGAAAUCCCCGGGCUCAACUUGGGAACUGCAUUUGUGACUGCAUCGCUGGAGUGCGGCAGAGGGGGAUGGAAUUCCGCGUGUAGCAGUGAAGUGCGUAGAUAUGCGGAGGAACACCGAUGGCGAAGGCAAUCCCCUGGGCCUGCACUGACGCUCAUGCACGAAAGCGUGGGGAGCAAACAGG
rnacentral:rRNA from 1 species